AUGGUGGCGGCGCCCCCCAAACCGAGGCGUCAAUUGGCGGGAGACUCCACCUCCGGCCGGGACCCGCCCCCUUGCAACUUGAGCCCGAAGGGAUCACCCCGCGGCGCGGCCAGGGCCUUAGAAAUCACCGGCCGAGGGCGAGCACCAGCGGCUGGAAGGCGGGGCGGCCCGGCCCGGAGGCCAGAGGGGCGGGGCUGGGCCCCGAAGCCCGCUCGCCCGGACGGGCGAUCAAGACCUCGGCGGCGGCGCGGGUCAGACAGCUGGACCAGGGACCCGGGAGUCCGCGGCGGAGGUCCUCCGGCUAGCGCAGGCACCAAGCUGGCCCCGAUCCCGGCGUCCCGGCCCCGGCCCGCGCGCGCCCCUCGCCGCGCACCUGAGCGGAGAUCCCCGGCGGACAGCCGCGCCGCGCCGGAGCUCCGGUUCGCUUCCCGCGCGCCGCCGCCAACGCCGCCCCCGCCGCUGCUGCUCGUGCGGGGCCGCUGCCCAGGUGCCGCCGGAGCCUGGGUCGGCGGCCGCCGCUUCGCUGGUCCCGGCUCCCGCCCCGCCGGGGACGCCGGCCCGCAAGGAGGCAACUUUGGGCCCCCGCCGCUUGCCGCGUUCGCCCGCGGGCGCCGCUCGCCUCCCGGAGCCCGCCCGCCUCCCGCGCGCGCUCACACUCGCGCCUCGCACACGGCCGCCCCCCGCACCGCCCCGCCACGCACACCGCGCUCGGCGCCCCCCGCCAUCGCCCGAGGCCGCCGCGCGCCGCGCGGGCCGUGCCCGCCCCGUCCCAUAGCGCCCCAGCUCUGCGCCGCAGCUCUCGGGUCAGCGGCCUCCGGUUCCCGGCGGGGAGGUGCGGAGGGCAGGGCUAGCGGGCGGGUUGGCGACCGGCGUCAGAAACGCGGAGGCCCGGGGAAGCGCUCCCCUCUCGCCGCUCGCCUCGGCCGGCGCAGCCCCGGCCGCUGGGCGCACCCGUCCCGUGCGUCCCCGGACGUCGCUCUCUGCCCCGGGAACGUCGGGACUGGAGCGCCCGCGCUGAGCCACCUUCACCGACCCAGAGCGCUGCGGCUCGACUCACCGCGGAGACGCUGGGACGCGGGGAACGCUCGCAUCCUGGGCAGAGGUGGAAGCUCGCUGAUCCGGAUCCGGCGAGGGCACCGCUCUCGGCGGCGGCGGCGGCGGCGGCUAGGGAACAAGUCUCUGGGAGUCAACCUAGGGCACCGAGCCCCAACCCAGGACCCGGCGGGCCCCAGCGGGCGCGGAGAGAGAUGCGCGUCUCGGGCAGAGCCAGGCGAUGCCGCCUGGGGCGGCGGCGUUGGGUGCUGCAGAGCCCGGGAACUUCCCACCCAGAGGAAAGGCCGCCUCAUCCCGGUCCCCGCUGUUCACGCCCCCGGCACUGCCCAUCAGCACCGUGGGCAGGGGUCUUUAGGACAUCCGACCAUCCGGCUCCCACAGCCCCUUGUGCAGGUGAGGACAGUCCGAGCUCCAAGUGGCCUUUGGGACGCAGGCCCCGUGCAGAGACUCUUGCUUCUCUGUCUCUGCCCGGCCCUCCCUCCCUCUCUUCCGCCUCCUAAACCCUUUUCCCUCCCAAGCAGCCCCUGCCCCCUUCCCCGCCUCCCCAGGCCGCUUCCUCCCAGCUGCCCACGUCUUGUCCUGACUUGCCCUCACCUGAGGCCAAGUCUUACCUGGGACCUGGAAGAUCCAGGCCUCAGGCCCUGGGGGACCAGAGUUGGAGCCUGGGCUGUGCCCACGCCAGUGGGCUGGCUGGGCCGACCGCCUCCUUCCUUCCUGCCUGCCCUGCGGCAGCUCCAGCAGGGGGCGGGCCGGGGAAAGAAAGGGAAGGACAAGUUGGCCUGGGUCUCCUGGGUGUCCAGGAGCAACUUGGAUUGGGGGAGGGGGUUGGGCAGGUGGCUGGGGCCCCUGGGUAGAGCAGGGAGGGCGUCACUGCUCCCCAGAAACCUUGCUCCCCAGACCAUCCUCUCUGGCCCCUCCCCCAUACUGCCCUGUGUGGGUGGCGGGAGAGGGGCCUCCUGGCCUGUGUCUCCCUCCAGGUAAUGAAGCUCCCAGCUGCCAGAUAGAUGGAUGCUGAGACUCCCCGUGGGGCGCUCAGGGGCCCCCCUGCAGGAGGGCCCCCCUGGGGCUUCAGCGGGGAGCAGGGGCAGCUAGCACACCUGGCCAAGCAUGUCGAAGAGCAACAGCUGCUGCCCAGACCCUGCCUCUCCCAGGCCGGCCCAGCCAGGAUCCUCUGCAGCUACGAUCCUGCCCCCCACCCCCCUGCGUCCCCAAGGAAUCCAAUAAAGCUUUGUGAAACCA